AUGAAGCAACAAAGAUGAAGAAGGAGAUGAAAGAGGGAGAAGAAGAAACCUAUAGGAAUAAGGAGAUGAAAGAGGGAGAAAUAGAAAUGUAUAAAAAUAAGGAGAUGAAAGAGAGAGAAGAAACAUGAAAUGAAAGAGUAGAACUAGAAUCACAUAAACUAAAUAACAUAUGACAAAGUAGUUGAUUCAAAUGAAAAAUUAUUGCAUAGGACUAAAAGAUAUUGAUUUGCAACCAACUAAGUGAUAUCAUUAGUUGAAAAAAAAUGUGUAUUGAA
rnacentral:lncRNA from 1 species